AUUGAACGCUGGCGGCAUGCUUUACACAUGCAAGUCGAACGGCAGCGGGGAGGAGCUUGCUUCUCUGCCGGCGAGUGGCGAACGGGUGAGUAAUACAUCGGAACGUGUCGAGAAGAGGGGGAUAACCACCCGAAAGGGUGGCUAAUACCGCAUAAAGUCUGAGGAAGAAAGCUGGGGGACUAGGAAUAGGCCUAGCGCUUUUGGAGCGGCCGAUGUCGGAUUAGCUAGUUGGUGAGGUAAAGGCUCACCAAGGCGAAGAUCUGUAGCGGGUCUGAGAGGAUGAUCCGUCACACUGGAACUGAGACACGGCCCAGACUCCUACGGGAGGCAGCAGUGGGGAAUUUUGGACAAAGGGGGCAACCCUGAUCCAGCCAUGCCGCGUGUAUGAAGAAGGCCUUAGGGUUGUAAAGUACUUUUGUUAGGGAAGAAAAGUCAGCUGUGAAUAAUGGCUGAUACUGACGGUACCUAAAGAAUAAGCACCGGCUAACUACGUG
rnacentral:rRNA from 1 species